rnacentral:rRNA from 1 species
UACGUAGGUGGCGAGCGUUGUCCGGAUUUACUGGGUGUAAAGGGCGCGUAGGCGGGGGAGCAAGUCAGAUGUGAAAUCCCCGGGCUUAACCCGGGAACUGCAUUUGAAACUGUAUUUCUUGAGUGAUGGAGAGGCAAGCGGAAUUCCUAGUGUAGCGGUGAAAUGCGUAGAUAUUAGGAGGAACACCAGUGGCGAAGGCGGCUUGCUGGACAUUAACUGACGCUGAGGCGCGAAAGCGUGGGGAGCAAACAGGAUUAGAUACCCUUGUAGUCCACGCCGUAAACGAUGAAUACUAGGUGUGGGGGGGCUGACCCCUUCCGUGCCGGAGUUAACACAAUAAGUAUUCCACCUGGGGAGUACGGCCGCAAGGUUGAA